rnacentral:misc_RNA from 1 species
GAAACGCGAUAGUUAAUGUGAAUUGCAGAAUUCAGUGAAUCAUCGAGUCUUUGAACGCACAUUGCGCCCAUAGGUAUUCCUUUGGGCAUGUCUGUUUGAGCGUCUUUACAACCCUCAGCUAACCGCUGGUUUUGAACCUGAACGGGUGACACCGCGCCGGUUUUAAAGUUGUAAGCUCUGCUGGCCGCUCUGCCCAACCAGAACAUAGUAAGCACUACUUGUCCGGGUGAAGCUGAACGGUACGGCCUGAACAAAACCUACCCACUCUCAAGGUUUGACCUCAGAUCAGACAAGGAUACCCGCUGAACUUAAGC